rnacentral:rRNA from 1 species
CCUACGGGUGGCAGCAGUGGGGGAUAUUGCACAAUGGGGGAAACCCUGAUGCAGCGACGCCGCGUGUGGGAAGACGGUCUUCUGGAUUGUAAACCACUGUCCCCAGGGACGAAAAUGACGGUACCUGGGGAGGAAGCUCCGGCUAACUACGUGCCAGCAGCCGCGGUAAUACGUAGGGAGCAAGCGUUGUCCGGAAUUACUGGGUGUAAAGGGAGCGUAGGCGGGGAUGCAAGUUGGGUGUCAAAACUACCGGCUCAACCGAUAGUCGCACUCAAAACUGCAACUCUUGAGUGAAGUAGAGGCAGGCGGAAUUCCUAGUGUAGCGGUGAAAUGCGUAGAUAUUAGGAGGAACACCAGUGGCGAAGGCGGCCUGCUGGGCUUUUACUGACGCUGAGGCUCGAAAGUGUGGUGAGCAAACAGGAUUAGAUACCCGGGUAGUC